rnacentral:rRNA from 1 species
AACGAACGCUGGCGGCAUGCCUAACACAUGCAAGUCGAACGAGACCUUCGGGUCCUGGGGCGCAUGGGUGCGUAACGCGUGGGAACCUGCCCAUAGGUUCGGAAUAACUCCCCGAAAGGGGUGCUAAUACCGGAUAAUGUCUACGGACCAAACGUAUAUCGCCCUUGGAUGGGCCCGAGUUGGAUUCGGUAGUUGUGAGGGUAAAAGCCUCAUAAGGCGAGGAUCCAUACCUGGGCUGAGAGACUGGUCAGCCACUCUUGGAGUGGGACGCGGCCCGGACUCCUACGCGAGGCAGCAGUGCGGAAUAUUGGACAGUCGGCUGAGUGCUGAUCCAGCUAUGCCGCGUGAGUGAUGAAAGCCUUAGGGUUGUAAUGCUCUUUUACCCGUGAUGAUAAUGACAGUACCGGGUGAAUAAGCCCCGGCUAACUCCGUG